rnacentral:lncRNA from 1 species
UUUCUGGGCGUGUGUGUGUGUGUGUACGAGCAGAGGAGAAGAAAGGAAGGGGGAGCCCUUCUCAAACCCUAAGCAACGAAUUGGAAGGAUUCUGGCCGAAAUCGAACCUGCAUGAACCUUAAUAGUGAUAAUCUAAGCAAGAUGUAACCAAGGUAUGUCUCGAUUCUCAGUUUUGGAGAACAACCGUGAACUGGGUUUUGAUGAAUGAACGUGUCAAGGAGAGCUCAAGCAUAGGAGGCUAA